rnacentral:rRNA from 1 species
GACGAACGCUGGCGGCGUGCUUAACACAUGCAAGUCGAACGGAAAGGCCCUGCUUUUGUGGGGUGCUCGAGUGGCGAACGGGGGAGUAACACGUGAGUAACCUGCCCUUGACUUUGGGAUAACUUCAUGAAACUUGGGCUAAUACCGGAUAGGAGCUCCUGCUGCAUGGUGGGGGUUGGUAAGUUUCGGCGGUUGGUGAUGGACUCGCGGCCUAUCAGCUUGUUGGUUGGGUAGUGGCUGACCAAGGCUUUGACGGGUAGCAGGCCUGGGAGGGUCACCGGCCCCAUCAGGCUGGGGAUGCGGCCCGGCCUACUACGGGAGGGAGCGGAGCAGAAGAUUGUACUAUGCGCGGGGGCCUAGUCCAACACCGCAGCGUCCGGGAUGACGGCCUUCCGGUAGUAAUCUAAUUUCGCCUGUGCCGAAGCGUGAGUGACGGUAACGGGUAAAGAAGCACCGGCUAACUACGUG